rnacentral:rRNA from 1 species
UAGGGAAUCUUCGGCAAUGGGGGGAACCCUGACCGAGCAACGCCGCGUGAGUGAAGAAGGUUUUCGGAUCGUAAAGCUCUGUUGUUAAGGAAGAACGAGUGUGAGAAUGGAAAGUUCAUACUGUGACGGUACUUAACCAGAAAGGGACGGCUAACUACGUGCCAGCAGCCGCGGUAAUACGUAGGUCCCGAGCGUUGUCCGGAUUUAUUGGGCGUAAAGCGAGCGCAGGCGGUUAGAUAAGUCUGAAGUUAAAGGCAGUGGCUCAACCAUUGUAGGCUUUAGAAACUGUUUAACUUGAGUGCAGAAGGGGAGAGUGGAAUUCCAUGUGUAGCGAUGACUUGCAUAGAUAUAUGGAGGAUCACCGGUGGCGAAAGCGGCUCUCUGGUCUGUAACUGACGCUGAGGCUCGAAGGCGUGGGGAGCGAACAGG